GACAAAGAAAGCAUGGGUGGCAGAUUUGUUGCGAGAGGCUCUUAAUGGCCUGGAAGAAGCCGAAGGCGCCUCAUCUGUUGCCACCAGCAGCAACGAAGCUCCUUCGUCAAAUGAAGAGAACUCGCCAUCUUGCAGUCGGCCUUGCACCUCAAGGGCAGCACAAGCGGCUCAAAAUGCUGUUCAGGGUGAGGUCGCCCGGGCAUUUGCCCCCUAUCAGUCAGGAACCAGAAAGAGACGUCUAGUCCUGCCAGCUGCUAACCCUAAGUGGAGAGUGCAGCUUCAGUCAUUUACGCACAAUUUCUUCUGUUUGAGAGGGAGGAAAGACUGCAGUGUCCCCUCAGCAUUCGAAAAAGUAAAUCUGUCCACUGCUGGUUUGGGGUUUAAGAAAAUCCAUUUCCCAGACCGGGCUUGUGAUGCUCAAGAGUUCCAAAAUCAGUUGACAAAAAGCUUUCCAAAGCUUCAGGAAGGAGGGGGCUUUGAGCUGUUGCGAACUAGCGGAAUGACACGGUCCAUAACGCU